rnacentral:rRNA from 1 species
AAAAUGACUCUCGGCAACGGAUAUCUCGGCUCUCGCAUCGAUGAAGAACGUAGCGAAAUGCGAUACUUGGUGUGAAUUGCAGAAUCCCGUGAACCAUCGAGUCUUUGAACGCAAGUUGCGCCCCAAGCCGUCAGGCCGAGGGCACGUCUGCCUGGGUGUCACGC